rnacentral:lncRNA from 1 species
UUUUAACUUCUAACUCCCUAGAUCUCAAAGUAUCAAUGACUAUAGCUUGAGUCAGUUUAUCCAUUGAGUAUUUUAUUGCAUUUAUGACAUCUUUAUAUGAGUCAGGUAAUGAGUUUAACAGGAUUACAGUAAGAUCUUCAUCAUCAAAUUUCUUUUCAUUAUUUGCAAGGUUUUUCACUAUGAUAUUAAAUUCAUUCAAAUUUACCUCUAAGUCCUUCCCAGGGUUCAUACUAAAGCUAAAUAGCUUUUCCAAGAGAUAAAUUUUAUUUGGUAGUGUUUUAGUUAAAAACAUAGCAUCAAGGGCAGUCCAUAGGGCUCUAACAGUUUU